rnacentral:misc_RNA from 1 species
GAUGAAGAACGCAGCGAAAUGCGAUACGUAAUGUGGAUUGCAGAAUUCAGUGAAUCAUCGAAUCUUUGAACGCAUAUUGCGCUCUUUGGUAUUCCGAAGAGCAUGCUUGUUUGAGUAUCAGUAAACACCUCAACCUCUUCUUGAUUUUUCAAAAGGAGGGUGGACUUGAGCUAUCCCAACAACCUUUACCGGUCGGCGGGCGGCUUGAAAUGCAGGUGCAGCUGGACUUUUAUCUGAGCUAAAAGCAUAUCUAUUUAGUCCUCGUCAAACAGGAUUAUUACUUUUGCUGCAGCUAACAUAAAGGAUAAUUGUCCUCUUUGCUGACUGAUGCAGGAUUUUACGACACUUUAUGUGUUGUUCAACUCGAUCUCAAAUCAAGUAAGACUACCCGCUGAACUUAAGCAUAUCAAUAAGCGGAGGA